rnacentral:rRNA from 1 species
GACGAACCGUGCGAACGUUAUUCGGAAUCACUGGGCUUAAAGCGCGUGUAGGCGGGACGGCACGUCGGUCGCUGAAAUCCCCCGGCUUAACCGGGGAACGGGCGUCGAUACGACCGUCCUGGAGGGGCGUAGGGGGACCUGGAACUUCCGGUGGAGCGGUGAAAUGCGUUGAGAUCGGAGGGAACGCCCGUGGCGAAAGCGAGGUCCUGGACGCCUACUGACGCUGAGACGCGAAAGCCAGGGGAGCAAACGGG